rnacentral:rRNA from 1 species
UACGUAGGGGGCAAGCGUUGUCCGGAAUCAUUGGGCGUAAAGAGCGUGUAGGCGGCCCGAUAAGUCCGCUGUGAAAGUCCAGGGCUCAACCCUGGGAUGCCGGUGGAUACUGUCGGGCUCGAGUCCGGAAGAGGAGUGUGGAAUUCCUGGUGUAGCGGUGAAAUGCGCAGAUAUCAGGAGGAACACCAAUGGCGAAGGCAGCACUCUGGGGACGUGACUGACGCUGAGACGCGAAAGCGUGGGGAGCAAACAGG